rnacentral:rRNA from 1 species
GACGAACGCUGGCGGCGUGCUUAACACAUGCGAGUCGAACGGAAAGGCCCUGCUUUUGUGGGGUGCUCGAGUGGCGAACGGGUGAGUAACACGUGAGUAACCUGCCCUUGACUUUGGGUUAACUUCAGGAAACUGGGGCUAAUACCGGAUAGGAGCUCCUGCUGCAUGGUGGGGGUUGGAAAGUUUCGGCGGUUGGGGAUGGACUCGCGGCUUAUCAGCUUGUUGGUGGGGUAGUGGCUUACCAAGGCUUUGACGGGUAGCCGGCCUGAGAGGGUGACCGGCCACAUUGGGACUGAGAUACGGCCCAGACUCCUACGGGAGGCAGCAGUGGGGAAUAUUGCACAAUGGGCGGAAGCCUGAUGCAGCAACGCCGCGUGCGGGAUGACGGCCUUCGGGUUGUAAACCGCUUUCGCCUGUGACGAAGCGUGAGUGACGGUAAUGGGUAAAGAAGCACCGGCUAACUACGUG